rnacentral:rRNA from 1 species
GUGAACGCUGGCGGUAGGCCUAACACCUGCAAGUCGAACGGCAGCACAGUAAGAGCUUGCUCUUACGGGUGGCGAGUGGCGGACGGGUGAGGAAUACAUCGGAAUCUACUUUUUCGUGGGGGAUAACGUAGGGAAACUUACGCUAAUACCGCAUACGACCUACGGGUGAAAGCAGGGGAUCUUCGGACCUUGCGCGAUUGAAUGAGCCGAUGUCGGAUUAGCUAGUUGGCGGGGUAAAGGCCCACCAAGGCGACGAUCCGUAGCUGGUCUGAGAGGAUGAUCAGCCACACUGGAACUGAGACACGGUCCAGACUCCUACGGGAGGCAGCAGUGGGGAAUAUUGGACAAUGGGCGCAAGCCUGAUCCAGCCAUACCGCGUGGGUGAAGAAGGCCUUCGGGUUGUAAAGCCCUUUUGUUGGGAAAGAAAAGCAGCAGGUUAAUACCCCGCUGUUCUGACGGUACCCAAGGAAUAAGCACCGGCUAACUUCGUG